CGUCGCAUUUAAUAGAACUUUAGCUAAUUGUAAGAAGUGGUAAAGACAGCUAGCCUUAUAGUUCUUAUUAUGGUGAGUAUGCAUGCAAGAAGAAUUACUCGUUAUAAUUAAGAUUUUUGUAUUUCCAAUUGGAUAUCGAAGUUACUAACUC